GACAGAGGGUGCAAACGUGUUCGGAUUUACUGGGCGUAAAGCGCGUGUAGGCGGCUUGGCAAGUCGGAUGUGAAAGCCCACGGCUCAACCGUGGAAGCGCAUCCGAAACUGCUUCGCUCGAGUCUCGGAGAGGAAGGUGGAAUGCUUGGUGUAGAGGUGAAAUUCGUAGAUAUCAAGCAGAACACCUGCGGCGAAGGCGGCCUCUGGACGAUGACUGACGCUGAGACGCGAAAGCGUGGGGAGCAAACAGG
rnacentral:rRNA from 1 species